AGGCUGGAGUGCAGUGGCGCAAUCUCGGCUCACUGCAGGCUCUGCCUCCCGGGUUCACGCCAUUCUCCUGCCUCAGCCUCCUGAGUAGCUGGGACUACAGGUGUGCACCACCAUGGCCAGCUAAUUUUUUUUGUUGUUUUUUUGUUUGUUUUUAAGAUGGAGUCUUGCUCUUGUUGUCCAGGCUGGAGUGCAAUGGCAUGAUUUCGGCUCACUGCAAUCUCUGCCUCCUGGGUUCAAGCGAUCCUCCUGCCUCAGCCUCCCAAGUAGCUGAGGUUAUAGGUGCCCACCACCACGCCCAGCUAAUUUUUUUUUUUUUUUUUUUUGAGACGGAGCCUCGCUCUUUCGCCCAAGCUAGAGUGCAGUGGCGUGAUCUUGGCUCACUGCAAGCUUUGCCUCCCAGGUUCACGCCAUUCUCCUGCCUCAGCCUCCCGAGUAGCUGGUACUACAGGUGCCCGCCACCAAGCCCAGCUAAUUUCUGUAUUUUUUAGUAGAGACGGGGUUUCACCGUGUUAGCCAGGAUGAUCUGGAUCUCCUGAGCUGGUGAUCCGCCCUCCUCGGCUUCCCAAAGUGCUGGGAUUACAGGCGUGAGCCACCGUGCCUGGCCUGGAUAUGUUAACAUAAUAAUUUAAGAUAAAAUGAAUGAGUUAAUCAGCAGAUUAGACGGAAGGGAGUAAUUUGAUGAGGGGGUAAAAGAAAAUGGUGAGGAUAUGGAGAAGGAAUUCGUGGUGAAACUGGACACAAUUGUUGAGGGAUUUCCAGAGCUGAUGAACGUUGUGGACCUGUGGCUUACACCAAACAGGGUGGGUGUGAGCUCGGCACAGCUAGGACGCGCUGGUGAGACCAAGGAACACCAAAGUCAGUGAGGAGAUCUUAGUGUCUCCCGGAGAGAGCCGACCGAGGCUGGCGCAUGUCUGAAUGCGAGCCUGGCCAUAGGCUGAGCCCGGCUGCCGCCACCCCUGGGCUUCUGGAACCCUGGGCUUGGCCGAGCGUGGGUGUCUCCCCUGGGAGCCCCAGAGCCCUGGACGAUGGAGGCCGGGACCUGGGCAGGCGCGGGAGGCCUUGGGCUGGGGCCUGCGCCCCUCCUCUGAGGGCUGCCUGCCGGGCUCUGCCCUGCCCUGCCCUUCCCUCCCCUCUCUUCCCCUCCCCUCUCCUCUCUUUCCCUCACCUCCCCUCUCUUUGCCUCCCCUCCCCUCCCCUCCCCUCU
rnacentral:lncRNA from 1 species